rnacentral:rRNA from 1 species
UUACGGGAGGCAGCAGUGGGGAAUUUUGCGCAAUGGGCGAAAGCCUGACGCAGCCACGCCGCGUGAGUGAUGAAGGUCUUCGGAUCGUAAAGCUCUUUCGGCCGGGACGAAAACGGGUUGGCCAAUAUCCAACUCCUUGACGGUACCGGAAGAAGAAGCACCGGCUAACUCUGUGCCAGCAGCCGCGGUAAUACAGAGGGUGCGAGCGUUGUUCGGAAUUAUUGGGCGUAAAGCGCGUGUAGGCGGCGCUGCAUGUCGGGUGUGAAAGCCCUCGGCUUAACCGGGGAAGUGCGCCCGAAACUGCAGUGCUUGAGUGCCGGAGAGGGUAGCGGAAUUCCGGGUGUAGAGGUGAAAUUCGUAGAUAUCCGGAGGAACACCAGUGGCGAAGGCGGCUACCUGGACGGACACUGACGCUGAGACGCGAAAGCGUGGGGAGCAAACAGGAUUAGAUACCCCGGUAGU